UCAAAUUUUCUUCUCUUUGAAGUCUUUCGGGCUCCCGAACCGGUUUGCAUAUUGAGUUUCCCAGGACUGUUUUCCACCGCCUGGAGCAGUUGAGCGUGAAGAGCACCGUUCUCGAUGUCUUUAGCUACAAAUUGUUUUAGGUCUCAAUUGUGGUGCAAUUCGAUUGAUGGAUGAGAUCGCCUUAAGAAAAGUGCUGAAUAAAUAAUUGUUGAAUGAAAGGAUUUUUCAUUCAAAAUAAGAAUUCACUGGAGGAGAUUGUUCUUUCUGAACAUUGCUGUCUCUGGAUGUAACCAGAGACAGUGCUGGAACCACUGCAGCCAUCUGGCUGCUAGUGUGAUCGACCCACUGAGGAGGCAGACCCAAGAGACUACAAGGAGUAGAGUGCAAGCCAUCCUUGCAGAUCUCCGACUUCUGGAUUUCUCGAGAUAUAAAUGCCCUUCUAGUGGCAUGGGGGAAUCCUUCCCAUCAACUACUGGGCAUUCCCGAGUAUCGCAAAUGUCUUCCUGGAAGUUCAUUCAGCAAAUUCACAAUCAACUAUGAAUUUAACCUCCUGCACAAAUGAGAAAGACCAAUAACCAACCCAAUGUGACCAUCUACCCUAUACGCUAAUUUAAUUCAAAACUGGGGAAACGCGGAACUACCACAGGCUGAUUUCAUGAUACUGUUGCUUAUUUGCCACUACAGGAAAAUUUAUGAAAUGCUACGACAGGGAUCUUUCCACGUAUCAGCAGUAUUUCUAGUCUGAGUGUCCCACUGCCUCUUGGAUGAAGACAUUGAAAAGGCACAACGAAAACAGUGUAGCACUAAAAUUUUGCUUACAUACACUGAGCAAAAUGGGGGCUUGAAGCAACUACCAGGAUAUGGUUUGAAAACCACUAACAAUUUUCGCAGUAUUCUGUCAAAUAUUUUAAGGAAUAUAAAUUACGCAAAAGCUUUCCUCUCCAGCUGCUUCAUUCCACUUUAAAUAUGCAGAAGCAGAUACCAAAUGCUGCGUUAAUCCCUGGUUUGGGUUUUUGAAAUUUAGCAGUAAAAAUAAAAGCGUUGCACUAUUCUGAUAUGGUGCUAUUUUUAAAAGUUAUUUGAGGGACAUAUGAAAAUGAUAAGAUGAAAUACCUUAGAAAAAUCUGUUUUAUGAAAUAUUAGUGUUGCUAACUUUAUUUUUAAAUUGUUAUUGUAAUUUACUUUGCAUAAUUUAAAAAAAUCAAUUUCGUAUAGUAGAAACAUAUUCCAUUGUAGUAGGUGCUAGUUUGUCGUAUCAACUUGGGUGAUUCUUUUGGAUGAUUUUAAUUAAAAAAAAUUGGUAUUGUUGGCUCAGAGGGUAUUACUUAUCAUUACUUUUGUUCUAUGAAUAAUCUUUCUAAUGUGUGUUAGGACCUAGGAUUACCUUUCAACUGAAAGCUUAAUAUCCUUUUGUUAUCACUCUUGAGCUUUGUUUAAAAUAACCAAAUUCCUUUGUGAAUUUUUAAUUUUUUUCAUUUGUUUAUGGGGAAAAUUUAGGAAAGUUUCAUUUUGAUUCCAAAGCUGUAAAGUUAACUUUCUAAUCAAUUUCGCAAGUAUGAGGCUAUUUCUAAAUACACAAUCAUUCUUGUUUGAGAAACAACUGCUGAGCAAUGUUUUGAUCCUCUUGGAAAAGUAUCUUUAAUACAAACAGUAUUUAGGAAACGUGAAUAUAAGAGAGGACUCGGCAAAAUCUUUAGGAGGAGGCGAAUUGCUACGUAAAAUGUCUAAAAGAAAAAAAUAAAAGAAUUUCUUUUAGUUUUUAAUUUGCUUUUUUGGUCCGAUAAAAACCAGGAGGUGCUUCACAAUACCUUUCUUGUUUUCUGACGCUCCUCCUUCUUGCCACCAGAUGUCAGACUUUCACUGCGAAUUUAAAACCCUUCAUUGCGUAGGGGACACCGUUAUCUUUUUAUUUGUAAAUGUCCACUAUUCCGAAACCAUCUCUUUCCACUUUUGCGCACGAUUUAAAAACUUGUCCUUAAUAUGAAUUUUCAGACGUUGAUUAUAGCUGUUUCAGGCAUACUUUUGCAGUUUCAAUGUAAGUAUUCCUCUUUCAAUUCACUCUCGUGAGUUUUGUAUUUUGCGAUAUCUACGUUUAUACGUGCACAUCAAUAUUAGAUCUCUUAGCUUUAAAAUUAAAAUGACACAUAUAAA